rnacentral:rRNA from 1 species
GAUGAACGCUGGCGGCGUGCCUAAUACAUGCAAGUCGAGCGAACGGACGAGAAGCUUGCUUCUCUGAUGUUAGCGGCGGACGGGUGAGUAACACGUGGAUAACCUACCUAUAAGACUGGGAUAACUUCGGGAAACCGGAGCUAAUACCGGAUAAUAUUUUGAACCGCAUGGUUCAAAAGUGAAAGACGGUCUUGCUGUCACUUAUAGAUGGAUCCGCGCUGCAUUAGCUAGUUGGUAAGGUAACGGCUUACCAAGGCAACGAUGCAUAGCCGACCUGAGAGGGUGAUCGGCCACACUGGAACUGAGACACGGUCCAGACGCCUACGGGAGGCAGCAGUAGGGAAUCUUCCGCAAUGGGCGAAAGCCUGACGGAGCAACGCCGCGUGAGUGAUGAAGGUAUUCGGAUCGUAAAAAUCUGUUAUUAGGGAAGAACAUAUGUGUAAGUAACUGUGCACAUCUUGACGGUACCUAAUCAGAAAGCCACGGCUAACUACGUG